rnacentral:lncRNA from 1 species
CUAGAAUGCAGUGGUGCUAUCUCCACUCACUGCAGUCUCCAACUCCCAGGCUCAAGUGAUCCUCCCAAGUCGCUGGGACUAACAGGCAUGCGCCCCCACACCUGGCUAAUUUUGUUGCUGUUGUUUUUGUUGCAGUAGAGAUGGCGUUUUUCUAUGUUGCCCAAGCUAGUCUCAAACUACUAAGCUCAAGCAAUCCACCUGCCUCAGUCUCCCAAAGUGCUAGGAUUACAGGCAUGAGCCACGGUACCUGGCCUGUGGCUGGGACUUCUUAUAGCUUGAAUUAUAGAUUUGGGGAUCAUUUAUGAAGACAUGGCAGGUGAAGUACAGAGAAUUAAUGGUGAGAACAUAAGAAUAGGGGGAAGAACAUGUGCUCGGGAUCCACCAUACUUUGGAGGGAGAAGGAGAAGGGGAGCCUACAAGGGGAAGAAAGUGGUCAAAGAGAUGGGAGAGCCAGACAAACAGAGGGUCACAAAAGCUAAAAAUAACCAGCUUCAUGAUUUGUAGCACCCUAUGCAAAAUGAAAAGGCAGAGCCGUUUGUUCAACAAUUAUUAAGAAUAUUGGCCGGGCAUAGUGGCUCAUGCCGGUAAUCCCAGCACUUUGGGAGGCCGAGGCAAGUGGAUCACUUGAGGUCAGGAGUUCGAGACCAGCCUGGCCAACAUGGUAAAACCCCAUCUCUAGUAAAAAUACAAAAAUUAGCUGGGCGUAGUGGCCCGAGCCUGUAAUCCUAGCUACUUGGGAGGCUGAGGCUCGAGAAUCGCUUGAACCCAGGAGGUGGAGGUGGUUGCAGUGAGCGGAGAUCAUGCUGCUGCAUUCCAGCCUGGGUGACAGAGUGAGACUCUGUCACAAAAAAAAAAAAAAAAAAAAAAAGAAUAUUAAUGGCCAUUGCAGUGGCUCACAUCUGUAACCCCAGUGUUUUGGGAGGCCAAGGUGGGAGGAUCUCUUGAGGCCAGGAGUUCAAGGCUGCAGUGAGCUAUGAUUGUGCCACUGUACCCUCUGUCUAAAAUGAAAAUUCUUUUGUGCUUACUUCGGCAGCACAAAUACUAAAAUUAAAGCAAGACAGAGAGAAGAUUAGCAUGGCCCCUGUUCAAGGAUGACAUACAAAUUCAUGAAGCAGUUUAUAUUUAAAAAAUAUAUAUGUUGAAAACUUUUCAGGCCAGUCACGGUGGCUCACGCCUGUAAUCCCAGCACUCUGGGAGGUCGAGGCGGGUGGAUUACCUGAGGUCAGGAGCUUGAGACCAGCCUGGCUAACAUGGUGAAACCCUGUCUCUACUAAAAAUUCAAAAAAUUAGCUGGGCAUGGUGGCGGGCACCUGUAGUCCCAGCUGCUCAGCAGUCUGAGGCAGGAGAAUCACUUGAACCUAGGAAGCCGAGGUUGCAGUGAGCGGAGAUCACGCCAUUGCACUCCAGCUUGGGCGACAAGAGUGAAACUCGGUCUCAAGAAAAUAAAAUAAAAUAAAUUAUU